CCUACGGGAGGUAGCAGUGAGGAAUAUUGGUCAAUGGGCGAGAGCCUGAACCAGCCAAGUCGCGUGAGGGAGUACUGCCCUAUGGGUUGUAAACCUCUUUUGUCGGGGAGCAAAAGCCGGACGUGUCCGGCUGUGAGAGUACCCGAAGAAAAAGCAUCGGCUAACUCCGUGCCAGCAGCCGCGGUAAUACGGAGGAUGCGAGCGUUAUCCGGAUUUAUUGGGUUUAAAGGGUGCGCAGGCGGAUUUUUAAGUCAGCGGUAAAAUCGUGGGGCUCAACCCCAUCCAGCCGUUGAAACUGGGGAUCUAGAGUGUGCGAGAGGUAUGCGGAAUGCGUGGUGUAGCGGUGAAAUGCAUAGAUAUCACGCAGAACCCCGAUUGCGAAGGCAGCAUACCGGUGCACAACUGACGCUCAGGCACGAAAGCGUGGGUAUCGAACAGGAUUAGAUACCCUAGUAGUC
rnacentral:rRNA from 1 species